rnacentral:rRNA from 1 species
AUGCUCAAGUUCCUGUCCAGGGUUGUGGUGGAGUACAAUCCGCUGGACCCGCGCAAGGCGGCGGCCGUGGAGCUCCUCGCGCAGUGCAACGGCCGCAAGGCCAAGGACUCCAACCCCACCUGCUCCGUCGAGCUUCGGCGCCUGCCCUCCCCGGCCGCGGCCGAGGACCCCAAGGCCCAACCGCCCCCGCGCGUCCUCGUCACCUACCUCAACGGCGCCGAGGAGGCCUUCGUCGCCGCCGACGGCGCCACCGCGCAGGGCAUGCGCGACCAGAUCCUCGCCCGCGGCCGCCUCCUCGAGACCGAGCAGCUCUUCCGCGAGGCCGGGGAGAAGUGGCCCGUCGUCAUCCCCGAGGAGGAGCUCGGCAUGUCAUUCCCCGGCAUCAAGCCAAAGAAAGCCGAGGAGAAGCCCCAGGCUUCGUGA